rnacentral:rRNA from 1 species
CCUACGGGAGGCUGCAGUGGGGGAUAUUGCACAAUGGGGGGAACCCUGAUGCAGCGACGCCGCGUGGGUGAAGAAGCGCCUCGGCGCGUAAAGCCCUGUCAGCAGGGAAGAAAAUGACGGUACCGGAAGAAGAAACCCCGGCUAAGUACGUGCCAGCAGCCGCGGGUAUUCGUAGGGGGCAAGCGUUAUCCGGAUUUACUGGGUGUUAAGGGGGCGCAGCCGGCGAUGCAAGCCAGGAGGGAAAGCCCGGGGGCCAACCCCGGGACUGAUAUUGGUACUGCGUGGCUGGAGUGCAGGAGGGGCAGGCGGAAUUACUGGUGUAGCGGUGAAAUGCGUAGAUAUCAGGAGGAACACCGGUGGCGAAGGCGGCCUGCUGGACUGCAACUGACGUUGAGGCCCGAAAGCGUGGGGAGCAAACAGGAUUAGAUACCCGAGUAGUC